GAUGAACGCUGGCGGCGUGCCUAAUACAUGCAAGUAGAACGCUGAAGGAGGAGCUUGCUCUUCUGGAUGAGUUGCGAACGGGUGAGUAACGCGUAGGUAACCUGCCUGGUAGCGGGGGAUAACUAUUGGAAACGAUAGCUAAUACCGCAUGACAACAGUUAUUGCAUGAUAACUGUUUAAAAGGGGCAACUGCUCCACUACCAGAUGGACCUGCGUUGUAUUAGCUAGUUGGUGAGGUAACGGCUCACCAAGGCGACGAUACAUAGCCGACCUGGGAGGGUGAUGAGCCACACUGGGAAUGAGAAACGGCCCAGACUCCUACGGGAGGCAGCAGGAGGGAAUCUUCGGCAAUGGACGGAAGUCUGACCGAGCAACGCCGCGGGAGGGAAGAAGGUUUUCGGAUCGUAAAGCUCGGUUGUAAGAGAAGAACGAGUGUGAGAGUGGAAAGUUCACACUGUGACGGUAGCUUAACAGAAAGGGACGGCUAACUACGUG
rnacentral:rRNA from 1 species